GAAGUAUAUUUCAUUUCUAAGUGAGUUUAUCUGCGUAUAAAUUCAUAUAUCUUUUGUUUUGAAUUUUAUGCUCAAGGCUAUAAAUAUUUCUUAUAAUGGUCUUUCCAGGAAAUUUUAAACUCGCGUUCGUGCCACGCUCGUGUCAUGCUCGACUUACCGAAUCCCCCACUCCAAUUUGAAAUUCGAUAGACGAAAUCGCGGCGCGGGGUGGUGUCAUUCGAGUGUCGAAAGUUGUGGAGAUUAGACGUAUCGUCUUUCUCAAGGUUAGUAGUUAAUUGUUGAGAUACAUAACUUCCAAGGCGGGAAAAGGAAUUUUCAAUAUGGACGCCAAUAUGACAGUUGGCUUUUUAUGAAGUUUGAAUUUUAGUCUUGAAGACAGACGUAUGUAAUUAUUUCUUUAUUUUUUUUUUACUUAAUUAUUAUUACAUAAGGUGAAGAUAUUAUAUAUAUAUAUUAAUAACGAAAAAAUAUUUCAUACUUUACAAAUGAGUUGAUCAUUUUAUAUUUAAUAUAUAUUUUUAUAAAUUAAUGAAAGAUAAAUAAUGAUUUUUGAAAAAUAGCAGUAUCUUUCUAAACAAAUGUUCGAUAAAAAAUAGAAGGAAAAUAUGAAAACAUAUUUACUUCUAUUUAUCUCAUUAUUCUUCUAUUAAUACAAUUUUAUUUCCAGAAAAUUAUUUUAACCGCGCGCAAUGCGGUUGGUAGAUUCAGUGUUUGUUUCGUAAUAGUUUUUUUUAUGUUCUUUAGAGUAUAAUAGCUCUAAAUAAAUUUAAUUAUAAUAAUUAUACGUGAAAUUAGAAUCAGUGCUUGUUCGCCGAUUACAUAAUUUGACGGAUGCGAUAGUUUCUUAUUUUUAUUUUUUUAUUUUAAAUAUUCGUUUUCGGUAUAAAAUAGAAUCAGUGCUUCUCUCAAGAGAAUAAGGCGAUCAUCCAUCAUACGAAGAGGUGUUGAAGAUUUCUUUAUAUAUUUUUGACUACGCGCAAUGUGGUCGGUAGAGUCAGUGUUUGAUUCGUAAUAUAGUAUAUAUAAUAAUAUUAUUUUUUAUUUUAAAAUUCCAAGUAAAUGUAAUUAAAAUGAUCAUACGCGGAAUUAGAGUCAGUGCUUGUUCGCCGAUUAUUCAAAUAAUUGAACGUAUCAAUAGUCUUUUUUCUUUUUUUUUUUUUAAUUUUUAUUCAUUUUCGGAAUAAGUUAGAGUCAGUGCAUCAAGAAAAUAAUGCGAUCAUCCAUCACACGAAGAGCUUUCACAGUCUCCUAUUUUAUGAUAAUUCAUAAUGAGCUAUAAGAACAGAGAUUCUUCGCAUCGAAUGGUGAGUCGCAUGCAUUUUUAUUCCUCCGGUUAUUCAAUCAUGUCGUAGAAUGAAAGGUUCGAAUCGACACGAGUAACUGGUUGUAUACGUAGAAUUUUGCACGAGCACAGUGACCUCGGGUAUUUAUUAUACUCGUGACAUUUCUCCUUUUUGUGUUUUAUUUAUCAGAUUAGGAUAGAGUUUUCUUGCACGUCGCGUUUUUAAAACAAAAAUAAACAAAAAAUAUUUAUAAAUAUGAAAUAUUAAAAUGUAUCCAAUAAUGAAGAAGUUGAAUAUCCUUUCCAACUUUAUUAUAAAAUUUUAACUAUUACGCAGUAAUAACGAU
rnacentral:lncRNA from 1 species